rnacentral:rRNA from 1 species
UACGUAGGGUGCGAGCGUUGUCCGGAAUUAUUGGGCGUAAAGAGCUCGUAGGCGGUUUGUCACGUCGGAUGUGAAAGCCCGGGGCUUAACCCCGGGUCUGCAUUCGAUACGGGCAGACUAGAGUGUGGUAGGGGAGAUCGGAAUUCCUGGUGUAGCGGUGAAAUGCGCAGAUAUCAGGAGGAACACCGGUGGCGAAGGCGGAUCUCUGGGCCAUUACUGACGCUGAGGAGCGAAAGCGUGGGGAGCGAACAGG